rnacentral:rRNA from 1 species
GAUGAACGCUGGCGGCGUGCUUAACACACCCAAGUCGAACGAAGCACUUUAUUUGAUUUUCUUCGGAAAUGAAGAUCUAGUGACUGAGUGGCGGACGGGUGAGUAACGCGUGGAUAACCUGCCUCACGCUGGGGGAUAACAGUUAGAAAUGACUGCUAAUACCGCAUAAGCGCACAGUACCGCAUGGUACGGUGUGAAAAACUCCGGUGGUGUGAGAUGGAUCCGCGUCUGAUUAGCCAGUUGGCGGGGUAACGGCCCACCAAAGCAACGAUCAGUAGCCGACCUGAGAGGGUGACCGGCCACAUUGGGACUGAGACACGGCCCAAACUCCUACGGGAGGCAGCAGUGGGGAAUAUUGCGCAAUGGGGGAAACCCUGACGCAGCGACGCCGCGUGAGCGAUGAAGUAUUUCGGUAUGUAAAGCUCUAUCAGCAGGGAAGAAAAAAAUGACGGUACCGCGGGAGGAAGCCCCGGCUAACUACGUGCCAGCCGCCGCCGUAACAC